GUGCUUGCUCUGGCAGCACAUACACUAAAAUUAGAAUGAUACAGAAAAGAUUAGCAUGGCCUUUGUGUGUGGAUGACAUGAAAAUUUGUGAAUCAUUCCAUAUUUAA
ensembl:snRNA U6 U6 spliceosomal RNA